rnacentral:lncRNA from 13 species
CAGGGAGCUUCAAGCUGGUGAAACAGAAGAACUGAUGACUCUAAAUUCCUGAAAAUCUGCCUAGUCAUGAAGCAGAGAGGGCCUCCCCACACUGGAAUCCCUGCACAGGUCUCUACUCAACCAUGAGAAAACUAUCAUGAGUGAAGCGAGGAGGGCUUGUCUCCAUCUAGUGGAUAAAUGCUCGAGGUGAUGGAUAAUCCACUUACCCUGAGGUGAUUAUGAUGCAUUACAUGCCUGUAUCAAAAUAUCUCAUGUAAAUCAUACGUAUAUACAACUACUAUGUAUCCACAAAAAUUAAAAAUUAAAAUUUUACAAAACGUAUAUAGUUUUGUUUUAUAGCCUAGAAGUUGUAUGUUUCAAGGGCAUAAAAUGUGUG